AUGAUAAUUCCAAAUGUUAAUUUUUUGUGCUGGAACAUGAGAAGACUAAAUGACCCGGACAGACGUGCGACUGUGCACGAGACGAUCGCCUCCACCUCAUGCCACAUUGUCUGCCUUCAGGAGUCCAAGAUGGAAAACAUAGAUCAGUACAUCGCCUCCUACCUUGGCGGUAAUAGACUCCGGAGCUUUGCUCAGCGUCCAGCCACUGGAUCCAGAGGAGGCCUCCUCAUGCUCUGGGAUGAUAGUGUCGUUCGCAUUUCCGAUGUCCACAUCACUGAGUUCUGCCUUUCCGCAAUGGUCAACGUCAUUCAUUCCGAUACCCCUUUCAAGAUCACUAGUGUCUAUGGUCCAACGGCCUCCAACAGAAAGGAUGAUUUCUUCAGUGAAUUGAUCGCUCAAAAACCCAUCAAUGGCACUAAAUGGAUUGUCAUGGGCGACUUCAACCAGAUUUACCGAGCUCGAGAUAAAAAUAAUAGGAACAUCAAUCGCAGCCGCCUCAACCGCUUCCGUGCUACACUAGACUCUUGUGAACUAAAAGAGAUCCACCUCCAGAACAUACGCUUCACCUGGAGUAACGAGCGUCAGAACCCUACUUUGUGCAAGCUGGACUCGGUUUUCUGCAACGCCGACUGGGACAUGCAUUUUGAUUCUCAUGUGCUUCAUGCCAUUUCUUCUUCACUCUCGGACCAUUGCCCCCUUCUCCUUGCCGAUGACAGGGGCCCGAAGCGACCAAGAUGCUUCAGAUUCGAGAAUUUUUGGUCCUGUAUCCCAGGCUUCUUUGACAUCGUCUCCAAGGCUUGGGAGGAGCCGUGUGCCCGCACAGAGCCAUGCCAACGGCUUUUCCAUAAGCUCAAGCAAACGGGGCGACAUUUGUCUAAGUGGAGUAGCAGGCUUUUCUCCAAGGCAAAGUUGCAUCUUCAUGCGGCCCUCCUCGUCAUCCUUCGUCUUGACAUUGCCCAAGAGACACGCGUCCUUUCGUUGGGAGAAAGGGAUCUUUGGGCUCGACUCAAGCGUCGUGUCGUCAGCCUAGCGGCGGUUGAGAGGGCGCGCAAAAAGCAAUGUGCUCGCAUUGCUAAUAUCAAGGAGGGGGACACCAAUACCAAAUUUUUCCACCUUAGGGUAAACUCAAGGCGAAGAAAAAAUCACAUCCACAGGCUCAAGAAGAAUCCUGGAUGGACCACAGACCAUCAGGAAAAAGAGGAAAUUAUCCAUGACCACUUUGCGAGCAGUCUGGGAGGGGGACAACCCAGACCGAUGGAUCUAAACUGGGAGAACCUGAACCUUAGGGUGGUUGACCUCACUGGCAUUGACGACAACAUCACCGAAGACGAGGUCAAAGCGGCCAUUGAUCUUAUGCCAGGUGACAAGGCCCCGGGACCGGAUGGUUUCACGGGAAGCUUCUUCAAGAAAUGUUGGCAGAUUAUCAAAGUGGAUGUAAUGAGAGUCAUCCACCAAUUUAGUAGCCUCCAAACGACAAAUCUUCACUGGCUCAACUCGGCCAACAUUGUGCUCAUACCAAAGAAGGAUGGGGCGGAAGAAAUCGGGGACUUCCGCCCCAUUAGCCUCAUCCAUGCUAUUGCUAAAAUCAUCGCCAAGGUGUUGGCGUCCCGCCUUGGCCCUUUCAUGAACAACCUUGUCUCCACUGCUGUGACGCCCCCAAUUUAA
rnacentral:rRNA from 1 species